AAGAACAAGAGAGAGGGUGGGAUCCUAGAUAUGAGGGUGAAAUUUUCGAUUCUCAGAAAGUUUAUUCGCUGAUACUUCUGUUGAAUUGGUUAAAGACAUGGCGUUGGAGCUGGUAGGGGGAGCUGUAUUGGGACUUGUGUUUGAACAACUCCGAAAGGAAGUAUGGAGGGUGAAGAACAACGUCGUGACGUUCAAACCCAAAUUGGAGGAACUUGAAGAAACACUUCGAUUUGUUAUGUCCUGUCAUCGAAGAGAUUGAAGAACUAAACAGACGAUUGAAAGGGACCAGAUUACAGAAGGGAAACUUUUGCCUUGAGGAGAUUGCUAGAAGAUGGUACGAAGCUUGUUUCCAAGUGCUCCAAAAUAGGAAGCUGGAACUUUCCCAAACAGUGUCAUUACAAGGAGAAGCUGAUGGAACUGGAUAACAAAAUCUUGAAGUUCCAUAACCUUCACAUGCAAGCUCAUAUGGCAAGGGAUCAAAAGAAGACCUUGCUAAUGGUGAACCCACAUAUUCAUGUUUCUCAAUCUUCAAGGCUAUCCAAAUCUUACUAUGGGCCACACUGCCUUCUCCUCUUCCAACGAUUCUAUCAAUGAGACUUCGGUGCUUCUGCUUCGCAUCUUUUCUCUUACAAAUCAGCUGAAUAUAUCGUUCUUGAGGGAAUGGCGGAGGAGUCCUCAAGUACGAGUAAUGGAAAAAUGCAUCGUCCUGGUCCCUGCCGCAUUAUAGCUGAGCUACAUCACGGCCUUGAUCUUCUUGUACAACUGGCUCGCUUGUUUCCAACAUCGACAGUAUUUGAAUAUUAUCAAGCUUAACUGGAAGUACUUGACAUAAAGUUAUUCACACAAAUUUCAACUCGAAACUUCGUGCUGAGACGGUCACAGCUCCUUUUACUAGAACCAACAAGUGGUUCAGAACAUGAGGAUGAGGAGAACGAGAAUGGUAGUGUUGGUCCUUCUUAUUCUUAUGAACCAACAAGAUCUGAUGAAAAGAUGACAACACAAAGUUAUCAGCCUCUGUUAGACUCCGAACAACUUCACACAGUCGAAGCAAAUAAUGCUGCUACGUUUGAGGCCAGAGAAGAACAAUUGACAGGUGAUCAGAACGAAGCAGUAGGGCCCAGCUAGGUCAAAACAGGGAGUUCAUUAAGCAAAUGAUGUCUCGAUUUGGACAUUCACGUUAAUUAAUCAGAUAAUUUUGGAACCCAUGACCCUGCAAUUGAUACAAAACUAUGAUAAUAUCUUCAGGAGGAUAAUGGAGAGGAUGAGUUUUGGGUGUUAAUUAAUGCUUAACAAUUAUUGUUGAAAUAUAAUUAUACUAUAGUGAUUUCUGUUGAUA